CUGGUGUCCUGACACCCACCCUUCACGACCGGGCAGAAUUAGCAAGUGUCCUGUAGUGAAUGGGUGUGGUUUUAGUGCACACAG
rnacentral:pre_miRNA from 1 species